rnacentral:rRNA from 1 species
UACAGAGGGGGCAAGCGUUGUUCGGAAUUACUGGGCGUAAAGGGCGCGUAGGCGGCCUUCUAAGUCGAACGUGAAAUCCCUAGGCUCAACCUAGGAACUGCGUCCGAUACUGGGAGGCUUGAAUCCGGGAGAGGGAUGCGGAAUUCCAGGUGUAGCGGUGAAAUGCGUAGAUAUCUGGAGGAACACCGGUGGCGAAGGCGGCAUCCUGGACCGGUAUUGACGCUGAGGCGCGAAAGCCAGGGGAGCAAACAGG